GUGAAAUCCCCGGGCUUAACCUGGGAACUGCAUUUGAAACUGGCAGGCUUGAGUCUCGUAGAGGGGGGUAGAAUUCCAGGUGUAGCGGUGAAAUGCGUAGAGAUCUGGAGGAAUACCGGUGGCGAAGGCGGCCCCCUGGACGAAGACUGACGCUCAGGUGCGAAAGCGUGGGGAGCAAACAGGAUUAGAUACCCUGGUAGUCCACGCCGUAAACGAUGUCGACUUGGAGGUUGUGCCCUUGAGGCGUGGCUUCCGGAGCUAACGCGUUAAGUCGACCGCCUGGGGAGUACGGCCGCAAGGUUAAAACUCAAAUGAAUUGACGGGGGCCCGCACAAGCGGUGGAGCAUGUGGUUUAAUUCGAUGCAACGCGAAGAACCUUACCUGGCCUUGACAUCCAGAGAACUUAGCAGAGAUGCUUUGGUGCCUUCGGGAACUCUGAGACAGGUGC
rnacentral:rRNA from 1 species